rnacentral:rRNA from 1 species
GACGAACGCUGGCGGCGUGCCUAAUACAUGCAAGUAGAACGCUGAAGCGGGGAGCUUGCUCUUCUUGGAUGAGUUGCGAACGGGUGAGUAACGCGUAGGUAACCUGCCUUGUAGCGGGGGAUAACUAUUGGAAACGAUAGCUAAUACCGCAUAACAAUGGAUGACACAUGUCAUUUAUUUGAAAGGGGCAAUUGCUCCACUACAAGAUGGACCUGCGUUGUAUUAGCUAGUAGGUGAGGUAAUGGCUCACCUAGGCGACGAUACAUAGCCGACCUGAGAGGGUGAUCGGCCACACUGGGACUGAGACACGGCCCAGACUCCUACGGGAGGCAGCAGUAGGGAAUCUUCGGCAAUGGGGGCAACCCUGACCGAGCAACGCCGCGGGAGUGAAGAAGGGUGUCGGAUCGUAAAGCUCUGUUGUAAGUCAAGAACGGGUGUGAGAGUGGAAAGUUCACACUGUGACGGUAGCUUACCAGAAAGGGACGGCUAACUACGUG